AUCUGCAUUUUUUAAAAGGCUUGCACCUUAUACCAGUUAUUCUAAUAUGUGUCCAGGAUGAGAACCUUAGAGGAAGAUGGUCUUUGAGGACUGCUAUCCAUGAUAAUUCCAUGAGUAGGAAUUUGGGAGAUUUCUUCGCACAUUUUAACCAAAUCCUUCAGUGACUGGAGUGAUUUGCUGGUUACCUUAACUUGACGAUCCAACUGGAACAAAUUCUGGAAGAGAUGACGGGGACCCACUCCUUCUGAUUCUUGGAUCUGCAUAUGGAGAUGCUGACAGAUUGUAUGAUAAUUCUACACAGCCCUCUGUGACUCAAGUGAACCAAGAUCGAACUAUAAGAUUCUGAGGGGAAUGCACAUAGUGAAGACACAAUUUUGAAGUGAAUUGUUGGAGACUUUUAUCCCUUCAUCAAGUUAAAAAAGCCAGAACCUGGGUGGAGCAAGAUGGCAGACGAAUAACACCGCCAGACAGAGUGUCUCUGCAGAAAAGACAGAUUCUA